GAAGCACACGUGCUGCGGCUUGUGUGCGGCUGCUGCUGGAGUGAUCUUGUGCGCGGAUGCACCUUUCUGUUGGCUUUCGCACGACCGUCACGACUCUUCCUGUGACUUGGAUGCGGUCUCCUCUACGGCGACGGCACUGCUGUAAUAAUACCCUCCCGCCUCUCAUGGAGACUGGUGGCGAGAGGAGGAGAGCAUCCACUCACACCCACUCACACACACAUAAACGAGGCGAUGAGGCGUAGCGCGCGGCUGCAGGCAUCGCUGCUGCUGCAGCACAUCCACCGCUCCUUGCCGGCGCUGCAGAAGCUCUACGCCUGCGCCACCCCGCAGCAUUUAGCGGGUGGGGCCGCAGCGGCACAGCUGUGCGAUGAUGCUGACGGCCACCGCGUCCGGGCUGCCUCUUCCGCGUCGUUUCCCCCAGAUCCACAAACCGCAGAGGAGGGCGAUCGCGUUCUUCGAUUCUUCUGCAAGGAGCUUGACAUGGGCGAAGCACCACUGCGACAGUGGCGCCGCAAGCUGCGCCAAAGCUCGACGCAGCGCUGGGGUGCGCCGGAGGCACCGCCCUCACUGCCGCUCCCACCCACGUCGCCUUUGCCUUCAUCACAGACCCCACCCGGCAUUCGCGCCGCUGCUGUGAGCGGCAGCACCGUCCCCUGGACGCGCGUUCGCUGUGCCCACGCUACUGCAGCGUUAGCGCCAUCGGCGAGCCCUGCGCCUUCGUCGGCUGCCGAUACCGCAGGCUCUGCAUCCUCGUCGUCCUUCUUGUGGCUGCGGCCGCGAUUGCAGGAUGUUGCCGUCGUUCGGUCCGCCAUGCAGAACCUCCAGUUCAUUGUUUCACCUCUCCUGCUCCUUUCCUCUCCUCCGCUGGUGGCUGCAUUGCCGCCGCGCGCAGGCAGCACUGGCGCCAGCGCCGCUGUCCAUCAUGACACAGCGCGGCCCACAUCGUACGAGGAGUGCAGUCGCUGGUAUGCGACCCGGCCCAUCCCGGCUGGCAUGUUUCUCAUGAGCCUUCCGACAGAGGCGGUGCUCUUCGCCAACCCGCCGCCGGCUACGGAUCCGGUGCUUACGUUCUACAUGCAAGUGGAGGAGCUUGUGGGGCAGCUGGUGAGCGCCGUCGCGGACGUCACCGCUCCGCAUCACGGCUACGCAUCCUACCUGUGCGACAGCGUUGUGCCGAGUCGAAAUCUGCCGUUCCUCACCACAGCGGACGUGCGGCAGCUCUUCAGGACGGCGACCGAUGGAUCGGCGGCGCAGUUACCCCAGGCUCCUGUUCACGCCGCUGAUGUGGGCGCUGACGCCAGCGGAGCCGCUGAAAGCCCGGCGCUUUCACUCGUGUCCUUCUUCCACGAAGACAUGGCUGGCGAGCCGCUCAGUGAUUACCUGCGCACGCGCCUCUCACGCCCCGAGUAUGCGUGGUGGGUCAGCCUCGUCCUCUCCCACCGCGCCGGCACCACGAGUCUGCUGCCCAUGAUUGACAAGCUGAACCACAGCCCUUUCCCGAACUGCUACUACACCAUGGCCACGGAGGACACCAUGUGCGGCAUCGACGUCCUUGACAACCUCCUUGCUGGCGUACCAGGAGAGCUGCUCUACCAGCCAUACGUGCACGUCUUUGCGUUGCGCGAUAUCCCGGCCGGCGCAGAGUUAACCUUGUGCUACGCCUCGGCGUCCGAUGGGGCGUACAAGCCUGCCGGUCGGCAUCAGCCCGCACCUUCAUCGUCCCUGCCUGCGAGGAAGAGGGGCGGCGCGCGUCGGCACGCCAGCGCUACACCUACAGCCGCAGAAGAUGUGGAGGAGGUGAUGCGUGCUCUAUUCCCUCACUCCGACGUGGCCGCACUAAUGGAAAGCGGUGGUGGCAUCAGCAGCGGCGGCGCCGACGUCGACCCUGUCUUCGCUUCUCAACUUCGGCGGCUGCAACACCCCGGGAGACAGGAAGUCGACACACCUGAGGGCAAGGCAAGCUGGCUGCUCCAGUGGGGCUUUGUGCCGCCGUGCGAUGCCCUCUACAGCGCGCAGGACUUGCGCGAAAUGGCGGCGCUGAUCGCGGAGCGGCGCGUGGACAUGCGAUCGUCGUUGUUUCCGAGAGUCGAGUGAGUCAGGGACGGUCGCCGCCAUCAAAGGGUGGUGGUGAUGGUGGCUCUUCUGCCGUGGGUGUUUGCGCACUUUCGGGCACCUCCCGUGCUCCCUCCCUUCCCCCCUCCCCCAGCACACACAGCCAGUGGUGCUCAUGUCUGUGCUUGCCCAUGUGCACGGUAUCGCAGGAGGCCCCGAGGGGCUUUAGCGUCUUCUUUGUUUUGGUAUGCGCGUCUCGGUGGGGAAGUUGGGGGAGAGGGGGGCCAUCAUGGGCAGAGCAUGUGCUCCUCCCUCCCCCAUUUCGCCUCUCGGCAUCUUCACACUACACACAAGCACCGCCUAACACCCAAGCAAGCAAUUUAUGAGCUCUCCUCAACGCGGAGGACGGAAAGCAAAGUCUUAUAGGGAGGGGCACUUUAGCGCCCGUAUCUGCUUUCGGCAUCAACCCUUCUACCGCUGCUGCUCCCCGCCCGCACCACACCAACACGUACGUGCACACGCUGCCAUCUGGGCGGCUAGCAGGUGCACACUGUUCAGCAACACCAUCCGAUCCCUUCCCUUCCCCUCAUCACACCACAAAAGCAGCUACAUCGGCGAGAGUGUCUCUCUCUGUGUUUGCGUGCCUGCGCGUAUGGCCCGUAUAUGUACAUUUUCGCCUCCCCUUCUCAUCUCUCUUUCUACCUCUCUGCAUGAAAUCACGACCCGCCCCCUACUCCCCCCCAG
rnacentral:misc_RNA from 1 species